CAGAUUCUUUACCACUGAGCCACCGGGGGAGCCUUGUUUUUCCAACAGGGUGAGGAUAUUUACUGAGGGAGUUGCUUUUACUUUCUUAAUCGAUGAUUCAUCCGUUUGUUCAACAUAUUCAUAUUGAAUACCCAGCGCAUGCCCGGCAUUGUUCCAGGCUCUGGAAGUCCUGCGGUGGACAAAUACAGAGUCUCUGCUCUCAGGUGGAGUUUACGUUUCUAUGUGAGGAGAUAGUAAACAAAGAUAUAACAGGUCAGGAGGCUGCUACAAUACAUGCUCAGAAGAAAAAUGAAGCAGGUUAAAGGGACAGAGUGGUUAGGAGGGCUCCUUUAGGUAGGGUGAUCAGGAAAGGGCUCUCAUAUUUGGCGACCUCUGGGUAGAGAUCUGGAUGGAGUGAGGAAGCUGUGUGGAUAUCCAAGGGAAUGUAAUUCCAGGAACCGGAGCAGUCAGUGCAAAGGCCCUGAGGCCCUGAAACAAUUUGCUUAAAGUGAUAGUUACCUCUAAUGAAAAGAUACAUAACGGAAAAUGUCAGCAACCUUUUAAAUCCUCCACAACUUAUCAUGAAGACCGUCUUGUGCAAAGUGCUCGUGGUGAAGCAACUUCUUUUGUCUCCGAUUCCUCCUAAAUUAGGUGGAUUCUUUACCAGCUGACCUACCAUGGAGAGAAAUUGCAGCUUGCCCUCCGUCUCCUAUUGCUGAUGAUCCUUCAGUUCUACCAUCUCCCGGUUCCUGUCCCUCCUCUAGUCUGUAACUCUUCUUGCCUGUUCAGCCCCUUAUUACCAGCAGUUGUACUGUACUACUGUACUUUUCAGGGUACUGUACGAUUAAAAUGUUUUAAUUUUUUGUUCAUUUUAAUGUAUUAUUUGCAUGAAAAGCAUUGUACACCUAUUACAGAACAGUACUAUAUAGCCACUUGUGUUAGUUGGGAACCCAGGCUAAGUUUGUUGGACUUAAUGAUCAAACCAGACUCACUAACCCUCUCUCUGAAUGGAACUCUUUCAUAUGUAGGGGACUCACUGUAUUUGCAAAGAUAUGGGCAGG
ensembl:lncRNA